GAUGAACGCUGGCGGCGUGCCUAACACAUGCAAGUCGAGCGAGAAUCUGCCGACGGAUCCCUUCGGGUGAAGACGGCAGAGGAAAGCGGCGGACGGGUGAGUAACGCGUGAGUAACCUGCCCUUAGGAGGGGGAUAACACAUCGAAAGGUGUGCUAAUACCGCAUAACAUAUAUUAGUCGCAUGGCUGAUAUAUCAAAGAUUUAUUGCCUAAGGAUGGACUCGCGUCUGAUUAGAUAGUUGGUGAGGUAACGGCUCACCAAGUCGACGAUCAGUAGCCGAACUGAGAGGUUGAUCGGCCACAUUGGGACUGAGACACGGCCCAG
rnacentral:rRNA from 1 species